rnacentral:lncRNA from 1 species
GGCAUAUUAGCAUCAUGUUAUAGAUUGGUUACCAUAUUUCAGCUUAUCCUUUCUAUUAUGCCUGAGUUAGUCCUAGUGGGAAAGUCGGUGAUAUUGAGGCCGAACCCACUGGGAACUUUGUUGUAGUUCUCACCCCACUAUUUCCACAGAGCCGGGACCGAGCGAGCCGGCGAGCGACCGAGGUAAAGGUAUCGCGCCUUAGUCAGAGGCCACCAGAGUUGGGUUUACAUUUUGUUAGUAGACACCCUUUUAUCAUCUUUUGUAUUUGAUGAUUUGUGAUGUAAAGAAAGAAUGUAAAGCUUAUUUUGAGGUAAAUGUGUUGUAAGAAAGAAAUGAUGAGAUUAUGUAAGAACAGCAAAGAAUCUUAAAUGUAAAAGAUGGAUGUAAUGUAUAUGAUCUAAAAUGAAUCAUAUUACUUGUGAAUGUUUAGUUUUCCUUUCUUUCACUUAUGGCUAUUGCUUACCCUCGUGUAAGCUGUUUGUGUAUGUUUCC